rnacentral:misc_RNA from 1 species
AAGUCGUAACAAGGUUUCCGUAGGUGAACCUGCGGAAGGAUCAUUAACGAAUAACUAUGGUGUCUUGGUUGUAGCUGGCUCCUCGGAGCAUUGUGCACGCCCGCCAUUUUUAUCUAUCCACCUGUGCACCGACUGUAGGUCUGGAUGACUCUCGUGCUCUCUGAGUGCGGAUGCGAGGAUUGCCCUCUUGAGGUGUCUCUCCUCGAAUUUCCAGGCUCUACGUCUUUUUACACACCCCACAAGUAUGAUACAGAAUGUAGUCAAUGGGCUUGAUCGCCUAUAAAACACUAUACAACUUUCAGCAACGGAUCUCUUGGCUCUC